rnacentral:rRNA from 1 species
GACGAACGCUGGCGGCGUGCCUAAUACAUGCAAGUAGAACGCACAGUUUAUACCGUAGCUUGCUACACCAUAGACUGUGAGUUGCGAACGGGUGAGUAACGCGUAGGUAACCUGCCUGGUAGCGGGGGAUAACUAUUGGAAACGAUAGCUAAUACCGCAUAAUAUUAAUUAUUGCAUGAUAAUUAAUUGAAAGGUGCAAUUGCACCACUACCAGAUGGCCCUGCGUUGUAUUAGCUAGUAGGUGAGGUAACGGCUCACCUAGGCGACGGUACAUAGCCGACCUGAGAGGGUGGUCGGCCACACUGGGACUGGGACACGGCCCAGACUCCUUCGGGGGGCAGCAGUAGGGGAUCUUCGGCAAUGGGCGGAAGUCUGACCGAGCAACGCCGCGGGAGGGGAGAAGGUUUUCGGGUCGUAAAGCUCUGUUGUAAGGGAAGAACGGGUGUGAGAGUGGAAAGUUCACACUGUGACGGUAUCUUACCAGAAAGGGACGGCUAACUACGUG